GUGAAUCAUCGAAUCUUUGAACGCACAUUGCGCCCCCUGGUAUUCCGGAGGGCAUGCCUGUUCGAGCGUCAUUAUCACCCCCCAAGCCCGGCUUGUUGUUGGAUGCAGCGCUUAUCCCGCUCCUCCCAAAGAUAAUGACGGCGUCUGCGACGACUCCUGUACACUGAGCUUUCGGGCACGUACACGGCUAGAAGUCCAGACCCGGUCGCCGUCCCCCCCCGCGGGGACACCCAUUACCACAAGGUUGACCUCGGAUCAGGUAGGAAUACCCGCUGAACUUAAGCAUAUCAAUAAGCGGAG
rnacentral:misc_RNA from 1 species